UGUAGGCUGAAACUCGCCUACAUGAAGCUGGAGUUACUAGUAAUCGCGAAUCAGAAUGUCGCGGUGAAUACGUUCCCGGGUCUUGUACACACCGCCCGUCACACCAUGAGAGUUGGCAAUACCCGAAGUCCGUGAGCUAACCGCAAGGAGGCAGCGGCCGAAGGUAGGGUCAGCGAUUGGGGUGAAGUCGUAACAAGGUAGCCGUAGGAGAACCUGCGGCUGGAUCACCUCCUUU
rnacentral:rRNA from 1 species